rnacentral:lncRNA from 1 species
CAGCCGGCGAGCUCAGCGGGGUCGACGAAGGCAGAGCCGUCGGCGAUGGAGGCAGUGAUGGAGGGAUGGUAGGGCGGCGGCGGCGGAACGGGAGUACCGCGAUGGAGGAAGGGCGACCGAGGAGGGAGGGCGACGGAGGAGGGAGCGGCGGCGGCUAGGGUUUGGGAGGCGUUCGGGCGGAGGGAGCCGGCCGCACGCGGGAUGAUGGGAGGGAGGAAGC